rnacentral:rRNA from 1 species
CCUACGGGUGCUGCAGUGGGGAAUAUUGGACAAUGGGCGAAAGCCUGAUCCAGCCAUGCCGCGUGUGUGAAGAAGGCCUUCGGGUUGUAAAGCACUUUCAGUGGGGAAGAAAGCCUUGGGGCUAAUACCCUCGAGGAAGGACAUCACCCACAGAAGAAGCACCGGCUAACUCCGUGCCAGCAGCCGCGGUAAUACGGAGGGUGCGAGCGUUAAUCGGAAUUACUGGGCGUAAAGCGCGCGUAGGCGGUCUGAUAAGCCGGUUGUGAAAGCCCCGGGCUCAACCUGGGAACGGCAUCCGGAACUGUCAGGCUAGAGUGCAGGAGAGGAAGGUAGAAUUCCCGGUGUAGCAGUGAAAUGCGUAGAGAUCGGGAGGAAUACCAGUGGCGAAGGCGGCCUUCUGGACUGACACUGACGCUGAGGUGCGAAAGCGUGGGUAGCAAACAGGAUUAGAUACCCGGGUAGUC